rnacentral:rRNA from 1 species
CCGCGUGUGUGAAGAAGGCCUUAUGGUUGUAAAGCACUCUAAGCGAGGAGGAGGCUACUUUANUUAAUACCUAGAGAUAGUGGACGUUACUCGCAGAAUAAGCACCGGCUAACUCUGUGCCAGCAGCCGCGGUAAUACAGAGGGUGCAAGCGUUAAUCGGAUUUACUGGGCGUAAAGCGCGCGUAGGCGGCUAAUUAAGUCAAAUGUGAAAUCCCCGAGCUUAACUUGGGAAUUGCAUUCGAUACUGGUUAGCUAGAGUGUGGGAGAGGAUGGUAGAAUUCCAGGUGUAGCGGUGAAAUGCGUAGAGAUUUGGAGGAAUACCGAUGGCGAAGGCAGCCAUCUGGCCUAACACUGACGCUGAGGUGCGAAAGCAUGGGGAGCAAACAGGAUUAGAUACCCUGGUAGUCCAUGCCGUAAACGAUGUCUACUAGCCGUUGGGGCCUUUGAGGCUUUAGUGGCGCAGCUAACGCGAUAAGUAGACCGCCUGGGGAGU